rnacentral:rRNA from 1 species
UACAGAGGUCCCAAGCGUUGUUCGGAUUCAUUGGGCGUAAAGGGUGCGUAGGCGGCUCGGUAAGUCGGGUGUGAAAUCUCGGAGCUUAACUCCGAAACUGCAUUCGAUACUGCCGUGCUUGAGGACUGGAGAGGAGACUGGAAUUUACGGUGUAGCGGUGAAAUGCGUAGAUAUCGUAAGGAAGACCAGUGGCGAAGGCGGGUCUCUGGACAAAUCCUGACGCUGAGGCGCGAAGGCUAGGGGAGCAAACGGG